rnacentral:rRNA from 1 species
GGGAUACCCGAGGGAAACUUCGGCUAAUUACCGAAUACGAAUUUAAGAGGCAUCGUACUUGAAUUUUGAAAGGGGCUUUCAAGCCCCGCUGAUUGAUGGACCUGCGGCGCAUUAGCUAGUUGGUGAGAUAACAGCCCACCAAGGCGAGGACGCGUAGCCGACCUGAGAGGGUGAACGGCCACAAUGGGACUGAGACACGGCCCAUACUCCUACGGGAGGCAGCAGUAGGGAGUUUUCGGCAAUGGGGGAAACCCUGACCGAGCAACGCCGCGUGAACGAAUGAAGGUCUUCGGAUUGUAAAGUUCUGUUGUAGGGGAUGAAUGAUUCGUGAAGGAAAUGUCACGAAUUUGACAGUACUCUACCAGAAAGCCACGGCUAACUACGUGCCAGCCGCCGC